UAGUCGAAAUUUUUUGACGAGUCGUAAUAGAUUCAAAACAUAUAAAUAAACCAAUAGUAGUUGGGCUUGAAAUAAUUAAUUUAUAGGGAUUGUUAGUAACACACUUAAAUGGGCCUACGGAGAAGCCUUUUAGGGUUUUGCAGAUACUUAUCCUCAGCCGUUCAUCAACUUUCCCAAGACACGCAUCUCCACCGUCGAUCCCGCCAAAACCCCUCUUUAUAGAUGGAAUCGAUUCAGACUCUCUUUGUAUCAGUAGUCGAUAUUUCCUAGGGUUUUAGCAGCGGCAGUCGAAACCUAAUGAAAUAUUCUUUGUUGUCAUGUUCUGGGCUUUCUCUUUGUUAGAAGAUGUGAAACUCGUUUUUGUUUUUCUAGAUUUGGCUUCAUCAGAUAGUCUAUGCGGAUUUUUCCGUUCCCAUACGAUUCGUUCCCUUGAAGCAAUACCAAUCGUGUUGCCUUUUGUCUUUUAUACAUUCUCCCUAAGCACCAAUACUGUUAAUUCAAGUUUGAUGCUACUGAUUAGUGAGAAUAACUUGAGCAACUACAUGUCUUUGAUUUUUACAUCUGUUUGUUUUUAUAGAUGUAUGUUUGUGUUGGGAAGAACAGUGAUGAGUCAAUUUACAGACCUGUAAUGACAGCGAUAGUCGAUGUGGAUUUGCCCGUUCCCAUCUGAUUCGUUCCCUUGAAGCAAUAUCAAUCGUGCUGCUCUCGUUAUUCUAAUAUCCUCCUUAAUCAAUUAAAAGCAUCAAUACUGUUAAUUCUAGUUUUGAUGCCGAUUUGGGAGCAUAACUUGAGUGACUACAUAUCUCGUCUGUGUGUUUGUCUGUUUUUGUAUUUCGGGAGAACAGUGAUGAGUCAAUUUACAGACCUGUAAUGAUUGCGGUAAUGAUCGCAUUUCAUUAUGAACAUCUAAGGGACUGAGUUCUUAUUACCUAGAAUCCAAUUAAAAAAAAAAAUCAUGCUGUAUGAUUUGUUUAUUGAGAUAUUAAGAAGGAUUUCAAUUAUAAUUUGGUUGUGGAUGAUGAGUACAAAUAUCAAAAAACAGUUAUCCCUGUCUGAGGAUUUAUUCCUUUUGAUGAUUGAUUUGUAAUCUGACACUUAGAACACAUCUAUGUCAGUAUUAUAGUGAUGUUGAAAUUCUUUUAAUACGAAGUGUAAAAUUUGUUAAUUUUAGUUUGUUAUUGUUGGAUUGGCUGUUGAUACGCAACCUCUCAUCCUUAGCAAUUUUUGGUUUUGACGUGCGUUUGGAAAACUUCCACCUCUUUAUGUUAGUACUUUUAAAUUGGAAGCUGAAAUAAACUGAUAACCUUUUUAUAAAAUAUAUAUGGAAUAUACGAUAAACCUCAACUAUUGACUUGCGUUGUCAAUUUGUUAUUCGAUUCAAGUAACCUGCUAUUUGCACACAUCUCUAUCCAUUAUAAAUUUAUUUUAGUUUAUUUUGCAACAAUCAAUAGUUUAUCUACCCAAAACAGAAUGGACUUCUAAAGACUGAGUUGUUAUCCGGCGUUGAGUGAGCAAGCGUGUUGUGUGCACUAGUCGUUUAAACGAUGUUCUAUUCAUUAUCAGGGACGACCUCAAAGAUUUCAGUUCAUACACCUUUCUUUUUUCUCUAUCAGGGUAUGUCUAUUUUGGGGAUAUCUCAUAACCCAAAAAGGGUAUUUACUGGUAUGAAAUUUGUAGUUGUUGGGUGAACCAGUCGGUGAAACAUUGUCAUAUCCUUAUCACAUUUCAGUGAUUUCAAUUCAUUCGAACAUGAGUCUUUAAAACGUUGUCGACAGGUAACACGUGUCUUUGUAAGCACCAUAUGUGACGAUCAUACCGACGGUCCUUUGCCAAGAAUGGAACAAGUGGAUAUAUCAAUUCAGUUUGAAAAAAUAUUCAACUC